UCAAAUGUAGCGAUAAUUAUCUACACAGCGACGACGAAGAAGAGCUUUGGCUUGAACCCGAGAGAGAGAGAGAGAGAGAAAUGGUAUGGGCAUGUUGAAUGAAAGUGGCCAACAACGAUGGCUUCGCUGGCUUAGUAUAGAAUUGGGUGUGAAUGAGGUUGUCUGUUUUGGAAUGCAAUUAUGGUUUCAAUUCUUCUUUGCAAAAUUCCAAACCAUUCAGAUUAUAAGUAUCCCUACCCACCCAAAUCAAUCUAUUCAUUGGGUUAGAGAGAGAAACACACAGAUACAUCGAGAGAAGCACAUAGACACAGAGAGAGCAAGGCAGAGAGAACUCGAACUCGAAGAUGCGAGCUCGAACUGGCCUUUGUAUAAAUAAUCUCUUCUUGCUUCGAUUUUAUUCUAUUCUUUCAGGUGUACAGGCACCAGACCGCGGCUAGAAGCGUCGAGAUAGACUCCAGUUUUGUCAAGCCAACCUAUGUGCCUCACUGCGAGGUUCCGAACCUGCCAUGCUUUGGCUUAGGGGUCUUUUAUUCUCCCCUUCUGUACUGUUUUGAGAAUUGAAUAGAAUGUACCGUACUGUACUGUCAGCAGGGAUUGAGUCCCUAUUCUGAAUGAUUGUAAUUAUUGUACAUACUGUUUUGC